CAUUAGCUCAGCUGGUAGAGCAACAGACUCUUAAUCUGGAGGUCCGGGGUUCGAUCCCCC
rnacentral:tRNA from 1 species